GACGUAGGGUCCAAGCGUUGUCCGGAUUUACUGGGCGUAAAGAGCGCGUAGGCGGUCUGUUAAGUGGGAAGUGAAAUCUCCAGGGCUCAACCCGGAAACUGCUUUUCAUACUGGCAGACUUGAGGGAUGCAGAGGUGAAUGGAAUUCCUGGUGUAGCGGUGAAAUGCGUUGAUAUCAGGAGGAACACCCAUGGCGAAGGCAGUUCACUGGGCAUCAUCUGACGCUGAGGCGCGAAAGCGUGGGUAGCAAACAGG
rnacentral:rRNA from 1 species